CGGGGCGUUGCGCAGCUUGGUAGCGCGCUUGCUUUGGGAGCAAGAGGUCAUGGGUUCAAAUCCCAUCGCCCCGACCA
rnacentral:tRNA from 1 species